rnacentral:rRNA from 1 species
AGAGUUUGAUCAUGGCUCAGGACGAACGCUGGCGGCGUGCUUAACACAUGCAAGUCGAACGAGGAAUGUUGAAAAGCUUGCUUUUCAGCAUUUCGAGUGGCGGACGGGUGAGUAACGCGUGAGCAACCUGCCUUUCAGAGGGGGAUAACGUCCGGAAACGGACGCUAAUACCGCAUAACAUGGAGAUAUCGCAUGAUAAUUCCAUCAAAGAUUUUAUCGCUGAGAGAUGGGCCCGCGUCCGAUUAGGCUGUUGGUGAGGUAACGGCUCACCAAACCGACGAUCGGUAGCCGGACUGAGAGGUUGAACGGCCACAUUGGGACUGAGACACGGCCCAGACUCCUACGGGAGGCAGCAGUGAGGAAUAUUGGACAAUGGGGGCAACCCUGAUCCAGCCAUGCCGCGUGAAGGACUAAGGCCCUAUGGGUCGUAAACUUCUUUUGCUCGCGGGCAAUAAGGGCCACGUGUGGUCCGAUGAGAGUAGCGGGCGAAUAAGCAUCGGCUAAUUCCGUGCCAGCAGCCGCGGUAAUACGGAAGAUGCGAGCGUUGUUCGGAUUUAUUGGGUUUAAAGGGUGCGUAGGCGGUUGUUCAAGUCAGCGGUGAAAUGCCCAUGCUCAACAUGGGAACUGCCGUUGAGACUGUUCGGCUGGAGUUCCGUUGCCGUGGGAGGAAUGUGUGGUGUAGCGGUGAAAUGCAUAGAUAUCACACAGAACACCGAUUGCGAAGGCAUCUCACGAAGCGGCGACUGACGCUGAGGCACGAAAGCGUGGGUAUCGAACAGGAUUAGAUACCCUGGUAGUCCACGCAGUAAACGAUGAUGGCUAACCGCCGGCGAUACACAGUCGGUGGCCAAGCGAAAGCGAUAAGCCAUCCACCUGGGGAGUACGACCGCAAGGUUGAAACUCAAAGGAAUUGACGGGGGCCCGCACAAGCGGAGGAACAUGUGGUUUAAUUCGAUGAUACGCGAGGAACCUUACCCGGGCUCGAACGGCUGGAGAACGACACAGAGAUGUGAAGGCCCUUCGGGGCUCCAGUCGAGGUGCUGCAUGGUUGUCGUCAGCUCGUGCCGUGAGGUGUCGGCUCAAGUGCCAUAACGAGCGCAACCCUUGCCGUCAGUUGCCAUCAGGUUAUGCUGGGGACUCUGGCGGGACUGCCACCGCAAGGUGAGAGGAGGGGGGGGAUGACGUCAAAUCAGCACGGCCCUUACGUCCGGGGCGACACACGUGUUACAAUGGUGGGUACAGAGGGAUGCUACCUGGCGACAGGGUGCGGAUCUCGAAAGCCCAUCUCAGUUCGGAUCGGAGUCUGCAACCCGACUCCGUGAAGCUGGAUUCGCUAGUAAUCGCGCAUCAGCCAUGGCGCGGUGAAUACGUUCCCGGGCCUUGUACACACCGCCCGUCAAGCCAUGAAAGCCGGGGGCGCCUGAAGUCCGUGACCGAGAGGAGCGGCCUAGGGCGAAACUGGUGAUUGGGGCUAAGUCGUAACAAGGUAACC